rnacentral:rRNA from 1 species
CCUACGGGAGGCUGCAGUCGAGAAUCUUUCGCAAUGGGCGAAAGCCUGACGAAGCGACGCCGUGUGAGUGAUGAAGGCCUUAGGGUUGUAAAGCUCUUUCGCUUGUGAACGGGUAGCAGGUAAAGAAGCACCGGCUAACUCUGUGCCAGCAGCUGCGGUAAUACAGAGGGUGCAAGCAUUAAUCGGAUUUAUUGGGCGUAAAGAGCGCGCAGGCGGGUUUUUAAGUCAGAUGUGAAAUCCUGGGGCUCAACCCCAGAACAGCAUUUGAAACUGAAAAUCUUGAGGGUAGUCGGAGAAAAUGGAAUUCCACGUGUAGCGGUGAAAUGCGUAGAUAUGUGGAAGAACACCGGUGGCGAAGGCGAUUUUCUAGAUUAUCCUGACGCUGAGGCGCGAAAGCAAGGGGAUCAAACAGGAUUAGAUACCCUUGUAGUC